AUUGAACGCUGGCGGCAGGCCUAACACAUGCAAGUCGAGCGAGCGGCGGACGGGUGAGUAAUGCCUAGGAAUCUGCCUGGUAGUGGGGGAUAACGUCCGGAAACGGGCGCUAAACCGCAUUGCGUUUAAUUAGCCGGUGUCGGAUUAGCCAGUUGGGGAGGUAACGGCUCACCAAGGCCACGAUGCAUAGCCGACCUGAGAGGGUGAUCGGCCACACUGGGACUGAGACACGGCCCAGACUCCUACGGGAGGCAGCAGUGGGGAAUAUUGGACAAUGGGCGCAAGCCUGAUCCAGCCAUACCGCGUGGGUGAAGAAGGCCUUCGGGUUGUAAAGCCCUUUUGUUGGGAAAGCGGUACCCAAAGAAUAAGCACCGGCUAACUUCGUGCCAGCAGCCGCGGUAAUUC
rnacentral:rRNA from 1 species